rnacentral:rRNA from 1 species
UAUGGUUUAUUAGAUCGUGCGUUCCCUUUAAAGAACUGUGGUAAUUCUAGAGCUAAUACAUGCAACCGGUCCUAACUUUACGGAGGGGCGCUUUUAUUAGAUCAAAAUCAAUCAGGUUUCGGCCUGUUUUUGUGAUGACUCUGGAUAACUUUGUGCCGACCGCAUGGCCUUGCGCCGGCGGCGUAUCUUUCAAAUGUCUGCCCUAUCAACUUUCGAUGGUAGGUGACAUGCCUACCAUGGUUGUAACGGGUAACGGAGAAUCAGGGUUCGAUUCCGGAGAGGGAGCCUGAGAAACGGCUACCACA